AUUGAACGCUGGCGGCAGGCCUAACACAUGCAAGUCGAGCGGCAGCGGGAAGUAGCUUGCUUCUUUGCCGGCGAGCGGCGGACGGGUGAGUAAUGUCUGGGAAACUGCCUGAUGGAGGGGGAUAACUACUGGAAACGGUAGCUAAUACCGCAUAAUGUCGCAAGACCAAAGAGGGGGACCUUCGGGCCUCUUGCCAUCAGAUGUGCCCAGAUGGGAUUAGCUAGUAGGUGGGGUAACGGCUCACCUAGGCGACGAUCCCUAGCCGGUCUGAGAGGAUGACCAGCCAAACUGGAACUGAGACACGGUCCAGACUCCUACGGGAGGCAGCAGUGGGGAAUAUUGCACAAUGGGCGCAAGCCUGAUGCAGCCAUGCCGCGUGUAUGAAGAAGGCCUUCGGGUUGUAAAGUACUUUCAGCGGGGAGGAAGGUGUUGAGGUUAAUAACCUCAGCAAUUGACGUUACCCGCAGAAGAAGCACCGGCUAACUCCGUGCCAGCAGCCGCUGUAA
rnacentral:rRNA from 1 species